rnacentral:ncRNA from 3 species
CGAAUCCCUCCCGGUAACGCCUAGCCAGCAGCCGGAACCGAGUCUUGCAUGCGAAUGGGGUAACCCAUUACUUGAAGCGUAGACAGGGUGCACUAAGGCCGUGUGAUUGAGCCUCGAGAUCAUUUAAGCGCUGGUGUCCUCAUAUUCCAAUAAGUGGGGGCAGCACUGAGCUGGCCAUCAAGGCGAGGCCAGCCAGACCGGCCGGGGUCUGAGAGCA